UUGGAGGGCAAGUCUGGUGCCAGCAGCCGCGGUAAUUCCAGCUCCAAUAGCGUAUAUUAAAGUUGUUGUGGUUAAAAAGCUCGUAGUUGAACCUUGGGCCUGGCUGGCCGGUCCGCCUCACCGCGUGUACUGGUCCGGCCGGGCCUUUCCCUCUGUGGAACCCCAUGCCCUUCACUGGGUGUGGCGGGGAAACAGGACCUUUACUGUGAAAAAAUUAGAGUGCUCCAGGCAGGCCUAUGCUCGAAUACAUUAGCAUGGAAUAAUAGAAUAGGA
rnacentral:rRNA from 1 species